CCCCUCCUGUAUCUGUACAGCAUGGGAACUAUGUGUAAUACGUGAUAGGCAAUGUAGUCUGGAAUGACUUGUUGCUCAAACUCGAGCCAUAGGAUGGGGCGGCGCCGGAUUAGGCUGUUGGUGGUGUAAUGGACUACCAAACCUAGGAUCCGUACGGGCCAUGAGAGUGGUCGCCCGGAGAGGGACACUGAGAUACUGGUCCCAGCCCUACGGGGUGCAGCAGCUGCGAAAACUCUACAAUGGGCGAAAGCCUGAUAGGGGGAUCCAGAGUGCUCAUGCUUUGCAUGGGCUUUUGCCAAGUCGAAAUUUCUUGGCGAAUAAGUGGUGGGCAAGACUGGUGCCAGCCGCCGCGGUAACACCAGCGCCACAAGUGGCAAUCGCGUUUAUUGGGCCUAAAGCGUCCGUAGCUGGCCUGGCAAAUCCUUUGUGAAAUCGUGGGACUUAAUCUCACGGCGCGCAGAGGCGACUACCAGGCUUGGGACCGGGAGGGGUCAGAGGUAUUCCGGGGGGACUGGUAAAAUGGUAUAAUCCCCGGCAGACCACCGAUGGCGAAGGCAUCUGACCAGAACGGAUCCGACAGUGAGGGACGAAAGCUAGGGGAGCGAACCGGAUUAGAUACCCGAGUAGUCCUAGCCGUAAACGCUGUGAGCUAGGUGUUGCGCUUACUACUGGUAAGCGCAGUGUCGAAACGAAGGUGUUAAGCUCACCGCCUGGGAAGUACGGCCGCAAGACUGAAACUUUAAGGAAUUGGCGGGGGAGCAC
rnacentral:rRNA from 1 species